GUGUGAUUCCAGCACAAGAUGGCUGAUUCUUUUUCUAUAUGCUGUAGUAAACAUGUCACACACAGUAAUGGAGAACUAGCAGAAGAUAAGCAAGACAAGCAAGACAACCUUCUUGGACCAAGAAGGAAAAAUCCGAAUGAAGCAGAACAUAACCUUACUGAAUGGCAUCUCUCUUACAGUAGAGCGUAUAAUUAGCUCAGGCAUAUUUGUAUCCCCCAAGGGAGUUCUGAUGCAUAGUUCCUCUUCUAGGCUUUCUCUGAUUAUCUGGGCCAUUGUUGGACAUUUUUUUUACUGUUUGGGGCUUUAUGUCAUGCAGAACUUGGAACCUUCAUCCAGAAGUGAGGGGCAAGCUGUGCAUACAUCUUGGAAGCAUUUGGUGGAUUUACUGCUUUCAUCUGACUUUGGUCAUCUUUAUUCCUCAUUGAACCACAGAACAGGCCACAGAGGCAAUCACAUUUACAAAACAUGUUAUUGCAUCUCUUUGGCCAAACUGUGAGCCCCCAUAUGAGGCAGGGAAAUAGAUCUUGGCUCCCUGCAUAUGGUUCACAGGUUUGGAUCCCAG
rnacentral:lncRNA from 1 species